rnacentral:rRNA from 1 species
GAUGAACGCUGGCGGCGUGCCUAAUACAUGCAAGUCGAGCGAACGGACGAGAAGCUUGCUUCUCUGAUGUUAGCGGUGGACGGGUGAGUAACACGUGGAUAACCUACCUAUAAGACUGGGAUAACUUCGGGAAACCGUAGCUAAUACCGGAUAAUAUUUUGAACCGCAUGGUUCAAAAGUGAAAGACGGUCUUGCUGUCACUUAUAGAUGGAUCCGCGCUGCAUUAGCUAGUUGGUAAGGUAACGGCUUACCAAGGCAACGAUGCAUAGCCGACCUGAGAGGGUGAUCGGCCACACUGGAACUGAGACACGGUCCAGACUCCUACGGGAGGCAGUAGUAGGGAAUCUUCCGCAAUGGGCGAAAGCCUGACGGAGCAACGCCGCGUGAGUGAUGAAGGUCUUCGGAUCGUAAAACUCUGUUAUUAGGGAAGAACAUAUGUGUAAGUAACUGUGCACAUCUUGACGGUACCUAAUCAGAAAGCCACGGCUAACUACGUG